CGGAAGGAUCAUUACUGAGAGUACCGGGCUCUGCCUGGCUACUUUUACCCAUGUUUUUAGAGUACCAAAAGUUUCCUCGGCGGCUCUGCCCGCCGGUCGGACUCCAUUCAAACCCUUUGCAGUUGCAGUCAGCGUCUGAUAAACAAAAUAAUUACAACUUUCAACAACGGAUCUCUUGGUUCUGGCAUCGAUGAAGAACGCAGCGAAAUGCGAUAAGUAGUGUGAAUUGCAGAAUUCAGUGAAUCAUCGAAUCUUUGAACGCACAUUGCACCUCUCGGUAUUCCGGGAGGUAUGCCUGUUCGAGCGUCAUUUGUACCCUCAAGCUCUGCUUGGUGUUGGGUGUUUGUUCCGCCUUUGCGUGUGAACUCGCCCUAAAACAAUUGGCAGCCGGCGUACUUGUUUCGGAGCGCAGCACAUUUUGCGUUCAGAUCAGUGUACACUGGCACCCAAGAAGCCUUAUUUUAACGCUCUUGACCUCGGAUCAGGUAGGGAUACCCGCUGAACUUAAGCAUAUCAAUAAGCGGAGGAA
rnacentral:rRNA from 1 species